rnacentral:rRNA from 1 species
CACAUGCAAGUCGAACGAUGAAGCCUUAGCUUGCUAAGGUGGAUUAGUGGCGCACGGGUGAGUAAUAUAUAGAUAACGUGCCUCUUAGUCUGGGAUAGCCAUUGGAAACGAUGAUUAAUACUAGAUACUCCUUCUCAUUAUAAUAUGAGUCGGGAAAGUUUUUCGCUAAGAGAUCGGUCUAUAUCCCAUCAGUUAGUUGGUAAGGUAACGGCUUACCAAGACAAUGACGGGUAGCGGGUUUGAGAGGAUGAUCCGCCACACUGGUACUGAGACACGGACCAGACUCCUACGGGAGGCAGCAGUGAGGAAUAUUGCACAAUGGGGGAAACCCUGAUGCAGCAACGCCGCGUGGAGGAUGACGCAUUUCGGUGUGUAAACUCCUUUUAUAGGUCAAGAAAAUGACGGUAGCCUAUGAAUAAGCACCGGCUAACUCCGUGCCAGCAGCCGCGGUAAUACGGAGGGUGCAAGCGUUAUUCGGAAUCACUGGGCGUAAAGGACACGUAGGCGGGAAGCCAAGUCUGAUGUGAAAUCCUAUGGCUUAACCAUAGAACUGCAUUGGAAACUGGUUACCUAGAGUAUGGGAGGGGGAGAUGGAAUUAGUGGUGUAGGGGUAAAAUCCGUAGAUAUCACUAGGAAUACCUAAAGCGAAGGCGAUCUCCUGGAACAUUACUGACGCUAAGGUGUGAAAGCGUGGGGAGCAAACGGGAUUAGAUACCCCGGUAGUCCACGCCCUAAACGAUGUUCACUAGUCGUCGGGAUGCUAGUCAUCUCGGUGAUGCACUUAACAGAUUAAGUGAACCGCCUGGGGAGUAC